ACCGGCAAACGGGUGCGGAACACGUACAGAACCUUCCUUUAAGCGGGGAAUAGCCCAGAGAAAUUUGGAUUAAUACCCCAUAGUAUAUUGGAGUGGCAUCACUUUGAUAUUAAAGAUUUAUCACUUAAAGAUGGCUGUGCGUCUGAUUAGGUAGUUGGCGGGGUAACGGCCCACCAAGCCUGCGAUCAGUAACUGGUGUGAGAGCACGACCAGUCACACGGGCACUGAGACACGGGCCCGACUCCUACGGGAGGCAGCAGUAAGGAAUAUUGGUCAAUGGACGCAAGUCUGAACCAGCCAUGCCGCGUGGAGGAUGAAGGUCCUCUGGAUUGUAAACUUCUUUUAUCUGGGACGAAAAAAGGCCUUUCUAGGUCGACUGACGGUACCAGAUGAAUAAGCACCGGCUAACUCCGUGCCAGCAGCCGCGGUAAUACGGAGGGUGCAAGCGUUAUCCGGAUUCACUGGGUUUAAAGGGUGCGUAGGCGGGCAUGUAAGUCCGUGGUGAAAUCUCCGAGCUUAACUCGGAAACUGCCAUGGAUACUAUGUGUCUUGAAUGUUGUGGAGGUGAGCGGAAUACGUCAUGUAGCGGUGAAAUGCUUAGAUAUGACAUAGAACACCAAUUGCGAAGGCAGCUCACUACACAAAUAUUGACGCUGAGGCACGAAAGCGUGGGGAUCAAACAGGAUUAGAUACCCUGGUAGUCCACGCCCU
rnacentral:rRNA from 1 species